UGCAGGGCCACCGCCGUCGCGUCGCCCGACAGCCCGUCCCGGCCUCGACGCCCGACGCCGCCUCGCCCCCUCCGCCCCGGUCGCUGGCCUCGACGCCCGAAGCCGCCUCGCCCCGCUCCGCCCCGGCCACUGACCUCGAAGCCCGACGUUGCCGCAGCGAGGAUCACGGCAUUUGAUUUCCCGACUAGAAGUGCUGUGCUAAUGUUGCAAGAAUUGGACCGUGCGGCAAUGGCGGCCGUGCCCAGUGAGAUUCCGACACCCUUGGCCUCCACUAUUCUUCUGCCGGCCAAAAGGGUGAAGCAAGAUCCGAGUUGUCCGGAACCCUCGUCCGCGGUUCCGGCCAUGGAGGCUGCAGGCUGGUCCACGCUCUCAGGCGACCUCGUCCGCCGCAUCGCCGAUUCCUUCCUCGCCAACAACGACCUGGACUACUACAUGUCUGUCCGUGGCGUCUGCCCCACCUGGCGCGCCACCACCGACGACCCCAGCAGCGACACCCGGGACUCCCGCUUCCAUCCGCGCGCGUGGAUCGUCCUGGACGAGGACUUCCAGCGCGACGGCAGGCGGGUCUUGCUCAACACCCUCACUGGCCGCUUCCUCCGCAAGAAACUGCCGUUGCUACUGGAUUACUACAUCAUUGGUACAAGUCGCGGCUUCUUCGUGCUGGCAGACAGGAGUCCUCCUCACGCCGCUUGUGUCUUCAAUCCUCUCACCGGCUGCGUGGUCCGGUUCGCGGCGCCCGUGCCCCGCGAGGUGGGGCUCUCCGAAGUUGACUACUCGCUGGCGCUCGCCCUGUUCUGCGACUCAUGUCGCACGAUUUACAAGGCCGCGCCUGACAGCGAACGUUUCGUCGCGGUCAAGACGAGGAGUAAAAAGCCGGCAGUUUACGAUUGCUUCCGCAAGGCGGCCGUAGGUGGUGUCUAUGCAGAAAUCAGUGCCUUGAAAUCAAUUGCAGUAGCUGAGAUGAUUACAUUUUUACCCAUGUUUAAUGCGAUAGCUGCACAGAUGCAAAAUAGAGGAUAUCCAGAGUUCCCCAGCGAUCUUCCUAGAGACGUGAAGGAUAUCCAGAGUUCCCUGGUGGUUUUAUCUGGACAGAUGUUGAUCGUCUUGGGUGCACUGUUUCCCUUUGUUUGCCAAGUGGACAUCGAUGCAACUGAGUUGGAGCCUUUGGUGAGCAUCGGCAGAUUUGCCAUCUUCAUCAGUAAUCGGAGGUGCCUAGCUGUGGAUACUGACAUGUUCCCAUCGAUUGAGGCAAACUGUGUCUACUUCAUUCAGCUUCUGGGUUCAUCUGCAUAUAUCUGCAAGUCCAACAUAGAGGACAGGAAAGUACAGAGGAUCUCUGAAAGUCCAGAUUUCGUGAAGCGGGGCAAGCGGUUUGUCCUCGUCGCUUGCCGUCCUUUUACGGUCAUCCAGCUUCUAUCGAGCUACACCAUCAACAUCCCGGAUUCUCAGUUGGCACUGCAACAGAUGCCAUAAGGCGCCAGUCAGAUCUUCAUUCAGCUCUAGGGAUAGUGAUCUCGAUGACCAACCGACAAAGCUAUGCUUUUGCGAAGAAACUGCUCCUGUCUUUUUUUGUUUUGUUAUGUUGGACAUGCCUUGCCUUGUCAUGGUUAAGAAACAUGUUUAUUCAAGGUACUGUACAUUUACAUAGUUAUCAUGUUCAUUCGACCGUACUAGGAAACAAGUUAGAAGUAUGCAGAGAACAGUGGCUGAAAUUAACAUAGGUAAGUGGAUGAACUAUUGAACAGCAGGUACAAAAUUUGAGAUCAUCAAAUGUUUGCCAACUAAUCUGCAUCAUGUGUCUAUUCUACUGGGCUGAGGAAUUGACUUUGCUUUGUCUUUUUUUAUUUAUCUCUUGGUUCUUCUUAUUCUUAGUACUCAAUUGUUUGCAAGUUAUAUGACUCAUGUCCCUGUUCCUUGAAUUGAAGAAUUGACUUUACCUUAUUAGUACUCUUAAUAGUCAGUAUGUAGGGUGUUCCUUUUUAUACCCUCUGUUGUAACUGAGGACGAAACGAGGUAGAUUCUCCCCUCAAUUGCCCUGCAAGCUGUAUCUGAUUUUUCGAGCACAUUUGAGCAGUACUCAUCAACCUCUUUGCCAGUCCGGUGGCUAUGUUGUUUGUCGUUAAUCUAAGUUUUCGUCCUAAAACCAGUGGUUAACUUGUUAUCCAACUGCCUGGAUUGAGCUAUUGCUGAUAUAGUGAUAUUCAUUGCAACUCAGUAGAAUGAAUUUCAUUCCUUUGAUACUGAUCAAUGGAUGGCGUGGUGAAUUUCUGUUAUAUGAUGUCAGUUUUCCGCAUGGACUUUCCUUUGUUUUCUUUCAACGACCAAUUAGUUUGAUGACGAUGUUUUCUUGUUCGUUCAGUUGGCAUACCAAUUGUUUUUCAUGUCAGUUUGUUUACUUGGAUGAUUAGUGGUACAGGGGUCAAGUGGACGUUGGGUUUUGUACUCCUGAAACCCUAUUUUGUUUCAGAGGAUACAUUUGAAACUCUGAUUGAAUGCUUCUUCCGCAGCUUCAAGAUAAUCGCUGGCCUUAUUAUCUCUGAUAAUUGUUGUAUGAGUGAUUGAAUGCAGUUAUCAGGGCUAUCUACGUUUCACUGGUCAUCAUGUGAGGUCAACCAGAACCUCGUACUACUUCAGAAGCUGACACUAACAAGGGUUAAUAAUG